rnacentral:rRNA from 1 species
UCCUACGGGAGGCAGCAGUGAGGAAUAUUGGUCAAUGGAUGAGAAUCUGAACCAGCCAAGUAGCGUGAAGGAUGACUGCCCUAUGGGUUGUAAACUUCUUUUAUAAGGGAAUAAAGUUGGCUAUGUGUCCUCAUUUGUAUGUACCUUAAGAAAAAGCAUCGGCUAACUCCAUGCCAGCAGCCGCGGUA